UCGAACGAGGGUGCCUUUGUAGCAAUACGAGGGUAUCCUAGUGGCGAACGGGUGAGUAACGCGUUGGUGACCUACCCCAAAGUGUGGGAUACCAGUCCGAAAGGACUGCUAAUACCGCAUGUGGUCAUCGGGUUCAGAAACCGAUGUCGAAAGCAGUAAUGCGCUUUGGGAGGGACCUGCGUCCCAUCAGCUAGUUGGUAGGGUAACGGCCUACCAAGGCUACGACGGGUAGGGGACCUGAGAGGGUGACCCCCCACAAUGGAACUGAAAUACGGUCCAUACACCUACGGGUGGCAGCAGUAGGGAAUAUUGCACAAUGGACGAAAGUCUGAUGCAGCAACGCCGCGUGCACGAUGAAGGUCUUCGGAUCGUAAAGUGCUUUUCUGGGAGAUGAGAAAGGACAGUAUCCAAGGAAUAAGUCUCGGCUAACUACGUGCCAGCAGCCGCGGUAAAACGUAGGAGGCGAGCGUUAUCCGGAUUCACUGGGCGUAAAGCGUGUGCAGGCGGUUCGGUAAGUUGGGCGUGAAAUCUCCCGGCUUAACUGGGAGAGGUCGUUCAAUACUACCGGACUUGAGAGCAGUAGAGGAAGAUGGAAUUCCCGGUGUAGUGGUGAAAUGCGUAGAUAUCGGGAGGAACACCAGUGGCGAAGGCGAUCUUCUGGACUGUUUCUGACGCUCAUACACGAAAGCUAGGGUAGUAAACGGGAUUAGAGACCCCGGUAAUCCUAGCUGUAAACGAUGUGAACUUGGCGUCGGUGGCUUAAACACCAUC
rnacentral:rRNA from 1 species